UCUUGGUCAUUUAGAGGAAGUAAAAGUCGUAACAAGGUUUCCGUAGGUGAACCUGCGGAAGGAUCAUUAUCGUACAAAAUGUGUGAGGCAUGCAAGGGCUGUCGCUGACUUUUUAAUCACAAAAAGUCGUGCACGCCGGAGCGUGUCCUCUCGCAUAAAAUCCAUCUCACCCUUUUGUGCACCACCGCGUGGGCACCCUUUGGGAUCGAACCGAUCCAGGAGGGCGCUUGCGUUUUCACACAAACCCCCUUAUAAAAGUGUAGAAUGACCCCAUUUUUGCGAUAACACGCAAUCAAUACAACUUUCAACAACGGAUCUCUUGGCUCUCGCAUCGAUGAAGAACGCAGCGAAAUGCGAUACGUAAUGUGAAUUGCAGAAUUCAGUGAAUCAUCGAAUCUUUGAACGCACCUUGCGCCCCUUGGUAUUCCGAGGGGCACACCCGUUUGAGUGUCGUGAAAAUCUCAACCUCCUCGGUUUCUUCUGGACGCCGAAGGAGGCUUGGACUUUGGAGGCCUUUGCUGGCGUCUCUCGCCAGCUCCUCUCAAAUGAAUUAGCGGGGUCCUCUUUGCCGAUCCUCGACGUGUGAUAAGAUGUUUCCAUGUCUUGGUUUCUGGCUCUGUCGCCUUUGGGACCCGCUUCUAACCGUCUCAAGUCGAGACAACGUUUGAGCGUGUCUCCCUUCUCGGGAAACACCCUCGAGCCCACGAACCCUUGACCUCAAAUCGGGUGAGACUACCCGCUGAACUUAAGCAUAUCAAUAAGCGGAGGA
rnacentral:rRNA from 1 species